GGUGCAGACCUCCAUCUACCAUAGCUGCACAGAACAAGUGUGCUGCGUUCACUCGCACCGUCUGUCCCUUCAGCUAUUUGCCGUUUACCUGUCAGUACGGCCACACGAGCAAGGAGGUGCUGCUCUACCUUUCAUACGUUCCCUACUUUAUAAACUGCGACACGAAACUUUUGUUCCUCAGAUGACAUAGACUGGAAGACAACCUUAUUCCGUCAACGCUUUAUACUAACGAAAGGCGUCAUUCUUCUGGAGGAGUGCAACCGUAAGCCCAGCAAAGAACGAGAACGCACGUUUGAAACAAAGUUCGACGUCCUCGAUACCAGGAACAUAUCGUCUACAACUACUUUGACCAUCUUCAGGUUCUACCGGCAUGUUGCAAGUGAAUCUUUUCGGAUCCACACUUGAGCCUGCGAUCGAUCUUCGGAACUAUGCACUUUAUUGCCGCUGAAUCCACACGGUACCUAAGAAGAGCUUGGUUUUGUAGGCGACGCCGUUUUGUAAGAGGUCCGCAAACAAAAUGAUGACGCUGUAUCACAUUGUCGUGUUUCAUCAGGAAUAGACACCCUGUAAGAAUGGACAGCAAUAAAUUUCACAUACCAGUAUGUUACCAUUUGGAGAAAAGUAGACUACAGACACAGCCUACUACCACCAGGAGGAAAAAUAUACCCUUAUAAAUUAUAAAAAAUUACCUUAAUUUUGAUUGUCUAAUUUAUGUAUUUGUAGUAUAGAAACUAUUGAUUGAAAUCAUUUGAUUGUAGCCUACUGUUUAGAUAACAGUGUCAUAAAUGUGUGCACAAAGUUUUAAGCAUCUAA